UGCAGUUACCUGUGUGGUGAUAAAAGGCAAUGCAUGAAAAUGUUGCGGUCCCUGAGGAAUUCCUGCUAUGAAAUCCAUCUGAACAAGAUUUGAAACAGACGCUUUGAACUAAGAGUCCUGGCUUCCACUUCAAAGAUCAGAAGCUACAGGAACUGUAAAAAAAAAUACUCUUUGGAUUGAAUGGAACACAUAACUUAUAUUAACAGUGGAUAAAACUGAGCGGCAGCAUCUGGAAGAGGAGCAAAGGAAGUGCCAGUGUUAAGUGAUGUAUUGGUUUGAUUUAUAUUGGAUGAAAAAAC